UUUGUAUUUCUUUUACUCUACUUCUUGCGGUUAAUACUCCCACUACUCCACUUCACAUCCCCACCAAAACGUCCUCUAUGGCUUCCACUACUAAUCUCUUUGAAUUUCACGCCAGGAUCCCAUCUCCACUUCCACCUUUUGCAGCUAGGGAUCGAAAGCCGCCCGCCGCUGAGCACCCUAGCGUCGCCCACCGCUCUGUACCCUAGCGCCACCGCACGCCACGAAUUCCUGCGGAUCGAUAUUAUAUUACUAGUAUAUUACUUUGUUCUCCCAUAUAUUACUUUGUUGAUUUUCUCAAAAUUGUGUUAGGAUUUGUGUAGAAUGAUGAUUGUUGAUCCUCUCUUCCUAUUCUUUUCGCUUAUCAGCAUUUGCAAUUGAGGGCCAACUCAAAUAUAAAGGCAAAUGGUUUUAUCACUACGAGAUUUGACAAGAAAAUUGAACGAAUAGCUGAACCAGAUGUCAAGAUGCAGUUAACCAAUGCGUUGGAUUACUUUUCGUCAACAAAGCUUUGUAGAAAUUAGUAGUGUUUGAUCAAUUGUGUACCGUUAUUAUGUAAUUUUUUUUGUUAU